AAGCGUAUAGCUCAAUAGGUUAGAGCGUUAGAUCGAUAAUCUAAAGGUUGUAGGUUCAAGUCCUACUAUGCUUA
rnacentral:tRNA from 1 species